UACGUAGGGUGCGAGCGUUGUCCGGAAUUAUUGGGCGUAAAGAGCUCGUAGGCGGUGUGUCGCGUCGGUCGUGAAAACUUGGGGCUUAACCCUGAGCUUGCGGUCGAUACGGGCAUCACUGGAGUUCGGCAGGGGAGAUUGGAAUUCCUGGUGUAGCGGUGAAAUGCGCAGAUAUCAGGAGGAACACCGGUGGCGAAGGCGGGUCUCUGGGCCGAUACUGACGCUGAGGAGCGAAAGCGUGGGGAGCGAACAGG
rnacentral:rRNA from 1 species